rnacentral:rRNA from 1 species
CAGCAGCCGCGGGAAUAUGGAGGGUGCAAGCGUUAUCCGGAUUUAUUGGGUUUAAAGGGUCCGUAGGCGGAUCUGUAAGUCAGUGGUGAAAUCUCACAGCUUAACUGUGAAACUGCCAUUGAUACUGCAGGUCUUGAGUAAAUUUGAAGUGGCUGGAAUAAGUAGUGUAGCGGUGAAAUGCAUAGAUAUUACUUAGAACACCAAUUGCGAAGGCAGGUCACUAAGAUUUAACUGACGCUGAUGGACGAAAGCGUGGGGAGCGAACAGGAUUAGAUACCCCAGUAGUCCCUGUCUCUUAUAC